AAUAAAGUGCCUGAUUAAAAGGGUUAUCUUGAUAGGAUAAAUCAUGUACACUUGUAUUUUUAUUA
rnacentral:tRNA from 1 species